rnacentral:pre_miRNA from 2 species
GUGAGGCGGGAAAAGGAAGAGAUGAGGGUCAAAGAGCAGCCGGCGUGGGAACAUUCAGGAAAGUUUAAGCUAUGGUUAACUCAUGGAGGUGGCAUGCAUGCUUCAAGCUUUCCUAAUGCCUCACAUGCCUACUGUUCUUCGGUCCUCCUUCCUUUUCCUUUUGGCU